AGUGAACGCUGGCGGUAGGCCUAACACAUGCAAGUCGAACGGCAGCACAGGAGAGCUUGCUCUCUGGGUGGCGAGUGGCGGACGGGUGAGGAAUACAUCGGAAUCUGCCCAGUCGUGGGGGAUAACGUAGGGAAACUUACGCUAAUACCGCAUACGACCUUCGGGUGAAAGAGGGGGAUCGCAAGACCUCCCGCGAUUGGAUGAGCCGAUGUCGGAUUAGCUAGUUGGCGGGGUAAUGGCCCACCAAGGCGACGAUCCGUAGCUGGUCUGAGAGGAUGAUCAGCCACACUGGAACUGAGACACGGUCCAGACUCCUACGGGAGGCAGCAGUGGGGAAUAUUGGACAAUGGGCGCAAGCCUGAUCCAGCCAUACCGCGUGGGUGAAGAAGGCCUUCGGGUUGUAAAGCCCUUUUGUUGGGAAAGAAAUCUUUCAGGCUAAUACCCUGGGAGGAUGACGGUACCCAAAGAAUAAGCACCGGCUAACUUCGU
rnacentral:rRNA from 1 species